UACGUAGGGGGCUAGCGUUGUCCGGAAUCAUUGGGCGUAAAGCGCGUGUAGGCGGCCCGGUAAGUCCGCUGUGAAAGUCGGGGGCUCAACCCUCGGAUGCCGGUGGAGUACUGUCGGGCUAGAGUACGGAAGAGGCGAGUGGAAUUCCUGGUGUAGCGGUGAAAUGCGCAGAUAUCAGGAGGAACACCAAUUGCGAAGGCAGCUCGCUGGACGUUACUGACGCUGGAGACGCGAAAGCGUGGGAGCAAACAGG
rnacentral:rRNA from 1 species